UACAGAGGGUGCGAGCGUUAAUCGGAAUUACUGGGCGUAAAGCGUGCGUAGACGGUAGCGUAAGUCAGAUGUGAAAGCCCCGGGCUCAACCUGGGAAUUGCAUUUGAGACUGCUCUGCUCGGGUGCGGAAGAGGGAAGCGGAAUUUCCGGUGUAGCGGUGAAAUGCGUAGAUAUCGGAAGGAACACCAGUGGCGAAAGCGACUUCCUGGCCUGCAACUGACACUGAGGCACGAAAGCGUGGGGAGCAAACAGG
rnacentral:rRNA from 1 species